ACGAACGCUGGCGGCGUGCUUAACACAUGCAAGUCGAACGGAAAGGCCCUGCUUUUGUGGGGUGCUCGAGUGGCGAACGGGUGAGUAACACGUGAGUAACCUGCCCUUGACUUUGGGAUAACUUCAGGAAACUGGGGCUAAUACCGGAUAGGAGCUCCUGCUGCAUGGUGGGGGUUGGAAAGUUUCGGCGGUUGGGGAUGGACUCGCGGCUUAUCAGCUUGUUGAUGGGGUAGUGGCUUACCAAGGCUUUGACGGGUAGCCGGCCUGAGAGGGUGACCGGCCACAUUGGGACUGAGAUACGGCCCAGACUCCUACGGGAGGCAGCAGUGGGGAAUAUUGCACAAUGGGCGGAAGCCUGAUGCAGCAACGCCGCGUGCGGGAUGACGGCCUUCGGGUUGUAAACCGCUUUCGCCUGUGACGAAGCGUGAGUGACGGUAAUGGGUAAAGAAGCACCGGCUAACUACGU
rnacentral:rRNA from 1 species